CUUACAAGAAGUUCACUUGAGAUAGAAUAUUUAUGGCUAGAAUUUUUUUCAUAGAUCCUUCUAUCAAAAGAUGCACCCUGUUUUUUCAUCCAUUUGAAUUCAGCCUGGCUUUCUGACUUGCUUUGACCAACAGAAUUAGGCAGAAGUCAUGUUGAGUAAGUUCUAGAGGCUGGACCUCAAGGACAUUGCAGCUUCUGCCUUUGCCCUCCCUCAUGGAAUGCAGCCAUAAAGCCACAAGGUAAGGAAGUCAGUCCUACUGGAGUAGGAGAGGUCAAGUGAAGGAGAACCAGGGCCAGCACCAGCUAUUCAAGAUGUGAAUGGAGCCAUCUGGACAUUCCAGACCAGCCAAUAUUCCAGCUGAAUGAAUGUAGCAUGGAAUAAACCCAGAUAAGAAACAAAGGAACCAUCCAGUUAACCAACAGAAUUGUGAGAAACCAAUGACUCAAGGAAGAUACCUAAUUUGUAGUAGGCUUGUGGCAAAAAGAAUCAGAAGCUGACUGGACACCUAACAUGAUUAUUUGUUAUGCUACACAGAUGACAGAUACUGCCAAUGAUGACAAAUGCUUCCUUGCUAUAUUAAUAGAGACAGUCAUGAUUGGAAUGGAGAUCAUGGCUGAGGACUGAAGUCAUCAAAGGGCCAUAGACAGCAUAGUGAACUCAGUGGAAUCAGAAGAAUUUGUAUCUUAGCAACAAGUCACAUAUUUGUAUUUCAGGCCUCUUUUUGGUUUCUGACGUAUGACAUCACUAUGAUAUUAAAGUAAAAUAGUUAAUAGAAUUUUGUAGUUUUUAGUUGUUUAUAUUUAAAGUGUUGCUGUUAUACUAUUUUAACAAUUGAAUAAGACGUAAAUAUUAAUGAUCUAAACGUUUUUGUUUAUACAUAUUUAAAGAACAUUAUAAUUAAAUAGUAAAUCAGUGAGCGGUACUUGUGAUGAUUAUUUUUAAUUAUCCAUUGAAUACUUGAGUUUGGAAAACUGUAAUAGAAAAUGGGGAGCCACUGUUGGCUACUUCAUUAGAGAGGCUAUCAAAGCAUAGUGGAAAACAGCCUUGAUUAUGUCCAAGACCUAGUUCACAUCUUUGCUGUCUGAGUUCUUAUGUGACUCUGAGUUAUUAAUUUGCUUCCACAUGUUGAAAAUGGAGAUAAUUAUAUCUCAAUGUGGCAAAAUUCAGUGAGAUUAUAAUGUAUUAAGUAUCCCAUAUGCUACUUAAACUUAGUAAUGUUAACUUCUCCUUUUAUAUCCCUGAAUUUUCAUUUUAUUUUCUAUAAAAUGGAAACCUUAAUACACACCUGACAAAGCUGUCGUAAGUGUGAUGAAAUAUGGUAGAAUCAUGUUCUUGUUAAGAAGGGAUAAAAAAUGGCUCCAGCUGCUCCUUUCCUAUGAGAAGAGACAAAAUGGUGAUUUUUUCCAUUAUGGAACAAGUAUCACUAGAGUGACUUCUUAGUAUUAUCCCUGUAAGAUAAGUAGGCAUGCAUUUUCCUAGGGAAGAGGUAUAUAAACAAGAACUUUUUAUGAGAGUUUAGGUGUCUGUGUGGGUGAGACCUUUAAAAGGCUCUCCACCCUAACACAUGUUGGUAAGCGAGAUUCUGAAAAGGGGUGAACUAAUUUUCAUAAUCACCUCAGCAACCUAUUGAAAGGAAGAAAAUCUAGACACAAAAACUUUCUUCCGAAGCGUCAAAUUUAGGGAAACUCGGCAAAGUGGACUAGGAUCAGCUUUGAUCAACUCUGAUGAAGAAGGAUGAAAAAAUUAUGAUGAAGCAAGAAAGAUUAUUAUAUUGACAAUAGUAGCUACCAUUUGUUGAAAAGUUCUAUGAGUCAGAUAUAUUUCUACAUGCUUUGUAUGCAUUAAAUUUAUUUAUUACCCAUAACAGCCUUGUGCUACAUGCAUUUUUUAUGUCUAUAUGUCUAUUAUAGAGGAGAAUAUUAAGGCACAAAGAAAGUUAGGUAACUUCUUCAAAGACACACAGCUGAUAGUUUACAGAGAUGUUUGAACCCAGACAAAUUGGCUUCGGAGUCUAUCUUGCUAACCACUUUGUAGGACUGCCUCUUUUCCAUGGUGCCACAUGGUUAGAUUUUAUCUAAGUGGGCAAGGAGUUAGGGUGGUACUUGAUCCUGAAUGUGAUGAAUUAUGAACAAUGUCCUAAUAGUGCAGAAAGGAUGUGUGGACACAGGAAACCACAUUAUUCACCAGAGGACUUUUCUUGUGUUGAAGUCAAUUUCUCAGUCCAUGAAACAGGCCCUGGACUUGUUUUCAAAUUGAUGAAAUAGGGGUCAACAGCAAUAGCUUCU
rnacentral:lncRNA from 10 species